rnacentral:rRNA from 1 species
UGGGGAAUUUUCCGCAAUGGGCGCAAGCCUGACGGAGCAAUACCGCGUGAGGGAGGAAGGCUUUUGGGUUGUAAACCUCUUUUCUCAAGGAAGAAGCACUGACGGUACUUGAGGAAUCAGCAUCGGCUAACUCCGUGCCAGCAGCCGCGGUAAUACGGAGGAUGCAAGCGUUAUUCGGAAUUAUUGGGCGUAAAGCGUCCGCAGGUGGUGCCUCAAGUCUGCUGUCAAAGACCGAAGCUCAACUUCGGGCAGGCAGUGGAAACUGAAGCACUAGAGUACGGUAGGGGUAGAGGGAAUUUCCAGUGUAGCGGUGAAAUGCGUAGAGAUUGGAAAGAACACCAGUGGCGAAGGCGCUCUACUGGACCGUAACUGACACACAGGUGCGACAGCGUGGGGAGCGAACCGGAUUAGAUACCCGUGUAGUCC